rnacentral:lncRNA from 1 species
GGAUUGUCUGUGAUCCGCCCGCGACUAGCAUCCAAGCAAUCCGUCUCCAAGACUUCUUUGCUCAUAAGUAAUUCAUCCCCAUUAUCUCACGUUACUUUCUCCUCAGAUAAACACAAAGAAAACCAAUCUGUUUUAAUCAAACAACAUCCAAAUAUCAUUUUGUGGCUAAAUAUACUGCUUGCCAAUGAAAACAAAAAAUGUGGAUUCAUUGAUGGUAAAAAAGGGAGGAUCAUUGCUUUAAAGAAAACCAAAUAAAUUGCAUCAAGUUUUUCUUAUCGAAAACACCUGAUUGCCAUCAAAUUAAGAUCAAAACCUUCCACCAAAAAUGGAAAAAAAGAAGAAAGGAGAUCAAAACGGAGCAACAGAACCCACCAAAUCUGUAGUUUUUUGAGGGAGACAAAUCUUUAUGGUCUCAUUUUUGUCUGAAACCUCAAACAAAUCUCAGGUCUCCCAAACACGGCGGGGGAUUUACUACCUUCGCUACGUUCAUCGACGCACAGACAAGGGGACAAGAUCCUCACAACGUUGGUUCCAUAGCGACGGGCGGGGAAGCCCUUGAGCUCAUGCCUUGCUUUUGGAGAAGCUUCUUCGUCGGGAUCGCGAACACGAUCGCCCGCGGAUCGGGAUCAAAGCUUCUUCAUCGAGAUCGCAAACAUGAUUGCCCGCGGGAUCGCAAUCCUAAUCCGCGGGGAAAGAAA